GCUUGAACUUGCUGAUUGGUUUUGCUGUCUUCUGCUUGCAAUGGACUCUUUCUCCUCUGCAGGGUGCCCCUGCCACCCAUGCCACCCUGCCUUAGAGCCAGCCAACUAUGGACUGAAACUGCUAUGAACUGUAGAGAUCAAGAGGACAACAGAAAAGAUGGCCUGAGGACAUCACAAAACCAGCAAGACCCUAUCCUUUAAAAAUCUCAAAAUUGUAAAAGUGAAAGACUGCAUUGAAAAAAAAAAAGCCUCAGAGUACCAUGUUCCAGAAUGGCAACAGCCUAGAGUUCCUUGGGAUUGGAUUCAGCGUGCUCAGUGAUUCAGGCACCCUACGGCUAAGAAAAAAAGAAGUCUGGCCACUGCCCCAGCCAGUGGCAGACCCUGGCACCAUCCACGUGGUGCUGGUUUUGGGCGCAUGCAGUAUGCAAGAAUUGUGGGAUCAGCAAGGCUUCCACCCAGAUUUCAGAAGGCCUGGGAGGCCAGGCAGUGUGCCCCUGAGAGAGCAGUGUGUGAAGCUGUGAGGGCGAAGCUGAAGGUGCAGUGGAGACUCCAGAAAUUUGGAGAAGCCAAGAACAUGGAUGGUUUGAGGAAAACUGCAAGGAAGGUGCAGAGCCCACCUAAGAGAGAAGCCAUGAGAGUUAUAACUACCAGCAGCACUGUAAGGUUGGAGCCAUGCUUUGUAGUUCACAUCUUGCCACAGAUUGCCUAGGAUGCUGGACAUGGAACUACAGGAAUUAAUGUUUGUCUUGCUGGACUUUAGUCUUACUUUGUUCCCAUUUCUUUCUAUUCCACUGUUUGUACCUUUUGGAAUAGUGUUUAACUUUCUUUUCAUUUGUACAGGGGCUUGCAGCUAAGAGUUUGCCUUAAAUGUCAGAGGAAACUUUAGACUUAGACUUUUCAGCAAAGCUGAAACUGUUAGGACUUUGGCAACUCUUGGAGAUGGACAAAAUAGCUUUUGCAUAAAGGAAUAUGCAUGCAUCUUUGAAGGGCCAGGGGUGGAAUGUUAUGGCUUGUGUUUAGAUAUCCCCCCAAAGCCUCAUUGCAGUUAUAGAUGGGGCAUUUUCAGAGGUGGCUGAAUCUAGAGUGUGUGAAUAAUUCAUAGUAUAAUGCUAGGACUAAGGGUGCUGGGACUAAGGGUGGGUGAUUACUACAUCAGUCCACUGAUUGGUUUGGCACCUCCUUAACCUGGUAGCCUAGAUAGAAUAGAAAAGAGGCAGAAAAAUAGUUGCUAAGGCCCCUUGCUUGCUCUCAUCUGCCUAUUUGUGUUGGACUAUUUCUUCUCUGUGAUGCCCCUCUGCCAUGCCACCCUGGCUUAGAGCCAGCCAACUGUGAACUGAAACCUCUACAAACUAUGAGCCGAAAUAAACCUUUCCUCAUUUAACUUUGGGUGUAGGGUAUUUUGUCCCAGCAAUGGGAAAAGCAACUAAGACAGUAGAGUUGAAAAUGAAAAUUUUAACCUGGCACCUUGUUUUCUACCAGAUCAUAGUUGGUUCCAUGGGAUCCACCCAGGUCAUUUGCAUCUCAACACUGGACCGCACCAGAUGAGGUCCUGCCUUCCUCCAGGAUGCUGCAGAGUGUUACAGUGGUAACUGAGUCAUUUGAAGAGGACACAUUACCUUGUGCCUACUUUUAGUAGAUAAAAUGCUAAUGCCUCUGUAUUGUUUGGUGCAUGGGAUCAGAGUUUCUCAUGGUUGGUGUCCCCUUCUGUUUCUCAAAUUCUGCAGAUGACAGUGAUAUACAUUAUUUUUCAACUGUUCAUUCUGUGUGGUUUCUUUAACAAUAUUCACUUCUAAAAAACAGAACAAAUGCACUUUGAUAAAUCUCCUGUUUUUUUUCAGAAAAUAAUAAAGAUUGCUAAUUUGAUAUACUA
ensembl:lncRNA